ensembl:lncRNA
GAGAUGUCUUAUAUUCUCCUCCUCUUUCUCUUUUUCUUUAUAUGCUUCUCUCUCAAUAAUGAAUCCAGGUCACACUCUAUUGCUUCCUCUCCUCUCUGAAGAGAUGACAGGUGACAUUAACUCUCUGGCUCUGUAUAGUAACCUAGUUAGCCCACUUUACACACACAUUGAUGUUUCAACUGGACUGCAUUACCUUACUUCACCACAAGGGGACAGAGUGAGUUACACAAGGAUUCUUUGAUGGAUAGAAAGUUUAAAAGAAUGGCAUCCUUGCUAAGCAAAACUAUUUAUUUUGAAACUUUCAAAAGCCUUGCUCGAGGGUCCUACCAAACCAUGUUUACAACAUGAAAAACAUUCAUAUAAAUGAGGAUGACCCAUGGACAAAAACAGAUUAAAAUUAUCCUAAUCUUUUUUAACCUAUUACUUCAGUAUUUACAACCUCAGCUGGGCAUGUAAAAGUGAUUGUGAUUUAAUUUUCCACACCGACCAUACCGAUAAAAAAAAUCUCAAGAAGUGGAAAGAGAAAAGUUCCCACAAUUGUUAUAGCAAAAAGAAAAAUGGAGGAGGAAAAGGAAUGAUUUUACGCUCCGGUGGAGCUGGAUAUUUCGGUGCAUAAUGAUGAACUCAGAAGGGUUAGUGUCUGUGGAAAGAUCCAGUAAGGGAGGAAAUGCAAAAGCCUGAAGUACUCGAAUGACAUAAAAUUCAGAACUUAGUUGUGUUGCUGAUGACAAUCAAAGUAUAAUGCAACCCAGCUUCAGUCCUAGUAUGUUGAAUCUAAAUAUAUGCUGUAUAUAGUAAAUAUAAAAAUGAAUUUGUGAAUGCAAUUCUGCAGUUUUUCUGUGUGUGUGUGUGCAUGUGACAUAUCUUUGUGUGUGACCAUAUGUGUGUUCCCAUCAGUGGGUCUGUAUGCCAUCUGCUUGCUUGUGCUAGCACAGGAGUUUCACUAAGCUGUCAAUUUCACAGCCUUGAUCCACACACUUACAUGGGUCCUAUUUCACAGACUAAGCUUUAUAAAUGAACUUCAAAAACUUUAAGAGAAGUUUGACAAAUGACCUCUGCUCCAUUUUAUUGUAUGCACAUGUAUAUGUGUAUAUUCGGUAGGUUUUGAGUAAGGUCACUUGUAACUUAUGUUCUAUAUGUCAUUUGGGGACUGAACCAGUAUUACAUUACAAACACACACACACACACCCUAAGCUUAGUGCUGUCAAUCACCUUCACCACUUCAAAGACGACAACUUGAAAGUGAUACACCUCAGGCAGUUAAUGUUUACAGCCAAUUUUCUGAAUUCCGACAUGUCACACACAGAUAUGACCAGGGAGGGUGGAUUAUAAAUAUAUGAAAACCAGUUAGUUCUCCUUCCUGUUGAAUCUGAUGUCCCACAAGUCCCAAACAAGCUCCCAAAACUCAAGCUUAAGCUGUUUGUAAACAUUUUCAUGGGCACAAAUGUCUUUCAUUAACAAAACUUGUAACAAAAAUAAUAUGCAAAUUAAAUUGUAUUUAUUAAAAAUUCUUAACUUAAAAUAAAUUUGCUUCAAAAUUGGCUUAAUUAAUGCCA